UACGUAGGGGGGCAAGCGUUGUCCGGAAUCAUUGGGCGUAAAGAGCGUGUAGGCGGCUCGAUAAGUCCGCUCUGAAAGCCCGGGGCUCAACCCCGGGAGGCGGGCGGAUACUGUCGAGCUAGAGUCCGGAAGAGGCGAGUGGAAUUCCUGGUGUAGCGGUGAAAUGCGCAGAUAUCAGGAGGAACACCAAUGGCGAAGGCAGCUCGCUGGGACGGUACUGACGCUGAGACGCGAAAAGCGUGGGGAGCAAACAGG
rnacentral:rRNA from 1 species